rnacentral:rRNA from 1 species
UACUAGAGUAGCACUCGCAUAUCAAUAAGCGGAGGAAAAGAAACUAACAAGGAUUCCCCUAGUAACGGCGAGUGAAGCGGGAAGAGCUCAAAUUUGAAAUCUUAAAGGGUUUCCCUUUACGAAUUGUAGUUUAAAGAAGUGUUUUCUGUUGAGGUUUUGGUAAAAGUUCUUUGGAAUAGGACAUCAUAGAGGGUGAGAAUCCCGUAUUUGACCUUUACUUUCAACUUUGUGAUACACUUUCAAAGAGUCGGAUUGUUUGGGAAUGCAGUCCAAAAUGGGUGGUAAAUUUCAUCUAAAGCUAAAUAUUGGCGAGAGACCGAUAGCGAACAAGUACCGUGAGGGAAAGAUGAAAAGAACUUUGAAAAGAGAGUUAAACAGUACGUGAAAUUGUCAAAAGGGAAGCGUUUGACACCAGUGUUGUUUUUCUGAAAAUCAAUUAAAGAACUGUUUAUGCUAAGCUGUUUAGACUUUAUCAGCUAUCUGUUUAGUUUUGAGCUUUUCUUUAAUGCACUUUUCAGUUAACAAGUCAACAUCUAAUUUCCUUUGCUGUAACAAAGCUUGAGGAAGGUGGCUUGAGAUUCGUCUUAAGUGUUUAUAGCCUCUUGCCUAUGCAGUCGGAGAGAUUGAGGUCUGCAGCGUAGAUCCUUCGGGGCUAAAUGCAUUUGUGCUAAGUUAUAGCAUUUUAUAGACAACUUGUUGACUAUGAUUUGUCUUGUAGCUUACUCGCUUAUGUUAUUUUACCUACGCUUAGGAUGUUGAGCGCAUGUCUCUCUCU